rnacentral:lncRNA from 1 species
GGAGGGUUACGUGUCAUGCCUGCCAUUCAGUCUGAGUUAAAAAGCCACCUCUACAGCUCUAGAUAUUUUCUCUCUCGCUCUCUACCGGUCUACCCCGACAGCUGUACGGCUUCUGUGAGAGUUCAAGAACGAUCCAUAGAACCAUGAAGAGAACUAGUGAGAGAGUGAGAGAGAGGUGAAAUUCAGGAAAGAUAAAGAAUUCAUCUCAUCUUCUCAGCACGACUUUAGUUGAUCUUCAUCCCGAGACUGAUUGGAAAGGCACACAGGGAAAGAAGUGGGAGAGGGAUCUGGGUUUUAACUCCAGCCCCAAAUUUCUAAUCAGAGAGGCACACAGACUGACGUACUAUUUGUGCUCGAGUUUGGGAUUUGAGUGAUCGAUUCAAAAAGGUUCAAGUUUCGAUUCUGGACGGUUGAUUGAAAAAAUUACAAGACAUAAUAUGACGAAUCUCGGUGUUUGGAUUUUGAUUUGAGGAAGCUGAAAACUUAUCUGGCCAAUUCGGAUUUGAGGUUGUGAUAACUUGAUCACUUGAUCAAUAUAAGAUGUCUCCAGCCAAUUCGGAUUUGGAUUUGAGGUUGCUGAUAACUUGCUUCAUGAAGCCACUAGGAAUCUAGAAAGUUUGAUAUUUUUCUCCCAGACCCUUAGAACCAAGUUUCAAAUGAUGCGUUCUAUAGUGCCAUAGGUUCAGGAAGAAGCAUCACAAACCUGUUUGUUGCAAUAUAAGGUCUGUAACUUUAGUGAGGAUAUGGUUAUGUAAAGUUUUAUAAACCCGCAGCAUCGCGCGGGAGAAUUUU